CAACUAUAUAUGAGGAUCCAUCCGAUCCUAAUCGUAAACGUGGACGUGAAUCUAAACAUUAUUAGACUGUUGAUGCCAUAGAUGAAUACGAAGAUAGUACACGCCUUCAUUUAUUAGCGAAGGAUGUGCAUAAUUUGCCAGAAGGUUUGCGCAUAGUUGUCAAUUUUGAUAAACAUCAUUCAGCAAUAGGAGAAGUAGUUGGACUCCUUGCAGGAGUUUGUGGACAAUUGGCCACUGAUUGUGUAGCAUUUCCAAUCAGUUUUGAAAAGUGGUCAGACAUUCCAGCAAGCUUUUUUGAAAAUCAAUGGAAUAUUUUUUUCCUAGCUCGAUUUUGCUUCAAAGUGAGUGAUAACUUGUCCAAACGUUUUUUGCUCCAAUCGCUUGGC